rnacentral:lncRNA from 1 species
UUUUUUUCCUGCAGCUUCCCUGCUGAAAUACCUUAGUGAGAAUGCAUAAAAACCAACUCUAAAUGAUGCACAAAGCCACCGAGACAUCAUUUUCUUUUCCAAAAUUCAAAUCCGAAAAACAAUCGAAGUCAAGCCUUCUUCAUUUAACCUUUCUAAGAGACUGCAGAGUGAGGAUGAGUAAAGAAAUUAUAGAGUUCAUCUUUCAUCUUUUCCAACAUACUUCAGAAGAAGACAAAAACAACUGUGACCUCCUGUUUGGCAGUCCUAGAGCAUGAAGAAAUGAAUAAAGGCUCAAGAUAGCAAGAUUGAACAUCACCACACCGGAACUCCUUCAAAGUGUGGCCUCUUCAUCUCCCAUUUUUCUUUUUCCACAGGCUAACAGGUACAUGGUUAAGCAGGCCCUCAGCUAGCUAGUGAUAAAUCAAUGACACAACUUCCACCCAUCCCUCCCAAAGCUAUGAUUCUGAGAUGUCUAAGCAACACUAGAACAGAGAUAAUGCAACUUCUGUCAUUAUGCAUGCUUCUAAAUAUCAUCAAAUCUAUUUUAUUUUCGUGUGUAUUGUUUCUGACCAAUUUCCAGUAGAUUCCACCUUUCCUGGAAUGGUCAGCUUUUUUCAGUAGAUUCCAUCGUGCCUGGAAUGAUGAAAGAACACCACAUCCCUUAAUGGCACAAUUGAAUUGUACUCAGGAAAUGCAGUUAUUUUAAUAUUAUUGCAAACCAAAGAUAAUUAAGAAUAUGAAUUUUCCCAGGAAAAUAUCACAUGACUUACUGCAGAACGAAACAGAAAUGAAUCUCAGUUUACUUGAUGAUUUGGUUUAUCUACUUCACCUUCCAU